CCUCGAGGGCCGCCGCUCCGUGUGGCGCCCCCUGGCGGCGCGCGGCGAGAGCGGAGGGCUGAAGUCGGCUGCCAUUGGUGCUGCAGCCGUGAGUCUCCAUAUGGUUUGUGUCAUUGCCCCAGGACGAAAGAGACAUCCAGGGUUUGGACGGUUUCUGGUGCUGUUCUUCUACGGCCUCCAUCCCAGCUGCCCACAUCAGAAGCAAAGCGAGGCCUUAACCCUUGGCAACUCCUAGCAGCUGAAAGGGCCAUCAGAACUGAUGGAAGGUUGUGCCACGUCUUAUCCCAAUAAAACAGCCAUUAACGGCUUUGUGCUUCAUAUUCUUGUCUACCAUCCACACAUACAGUUACCCAUCCUACAGCAGGUGUUUUAUAAGGAAAGAACAAUGGAGUAUAAAGAGAGGCUGAGUAGGUGUGUGAACCGCAGCUGACUCCACGGAGAGCAUGUGUACUUCAAACAAGUUCUUCAAACGAGCACAGAACGCUGCUUGGUAGUUGCACAUUUAGAGCCAAGCAUGAGAAAUACUCUCCUUUCAAAUUGAAGUUUUUAUAUGCAUGACAGAUAACAUAGGAUUGUUUGGUGCCAUGCUGGAAAAACUGGACCACUUAUUCACUUAACAAAGGGAAUUGGAUUACUUCUGAGAUCUGCAUGUGAACGUAGCACCAGAUAUUAAUGAAUGUCAAGUUGGCCUGGUUUGCUCUAAUAACAGAAAACAGUUGAAGAAAAUAUUUCCCAGUAGAAAUUCAAUAAAAAUGUAUUUUUAUACUGCUUAGUCCAACAUUCCAAAAGUUGAGAUUUUUUUUUAUUUUAGUGAAUUUAAGCAUGAUCCAAUAAUAACAAACUUAGCAGGAACAUACUUCAGUAAAACCUCAUUAAUCAGGGCAGUGGGAUGUAGUAUAUAUGAUAUCUGUUAUAUUCAAUGAGAA
ensembl:lncRNA